UGCAAUUACACCAGGCCUGUUCCAGCCCCGAGGCUUUGUGCUGGCUAUUCCAUCUGGCUGGAAGCUUUCCCCCAGGUAUCCAAGUGGCUCACCUCCUUACCAACUUCAAGUCUUUGCUCCAAUGUCAUCUUCUCAGCAGGGUCCCCCCUGACCACAACAUUUAACAUCACUUACCCCCACUUAGCACUGGGUGUCCCUGGCUGCCAUAAUUUUUCUCCAGGAUCACCUGUCACCUUUGAUCUAUUCACUGAUGUAUUUCCAUCACUUAGAGAAGUAUCUGGCACAUAGCACAUAGUCAAUAAACACUUGCUGAACUGAUGAAUAAACCCUCUCCUCAACCCCAUAAGAAUGACAAUUAUUAUUCCCAUUUUACAGCUUCAGGAGAUCAGAUCCAACUUCUAUGUGCAAAGCCAACAACCGGAGAGUGACAGAGCUAGGACUCAAAACCACAGUGUUUCCGCAUGGAGGAAGAGAAGAAAGGGGAGAAUGGAGGGGAAACAUCUUUUAUACCGGACUCCUUGUUCCACAACCCCCACCAGCAACCCCAACCAGUGUGGCAUUUGUCUUCUGCAGUAACAUCAGGUGUCAUGAGGGAGAAUCAGCUCUACCAGAAAGUUCCUGAUUGCCCAACACGAAGUGGCCAUGGUUGGGACAGUCAUACUUCACCGUCACCCUCUGACAUCAAACACGGCCUGGACAGUGAGUUCUGAGCACUGACCACUCUAAGGUAAAAAUCAGCACAGCAUACUUUUUCCAGAGGUCAUGUGUGUGCUUUUCUGUUUAUUAAUUUAUUUUUAAGCAUGAUUUUAUGUCUUCUCUUUUCUAGGCCCUUCUCUUCACUAGGUCCUGAGAACACAGUAUCAAAGCAGAUUACUGCCUUCAGUAAAUUGAUGUUAUACUAGGGAGACAGACACGUAAGUAAUCACAACGAAGACCAGGUAAACUUGUCUUGAGAAAGAGAGGGGAGCAAAUAGCUGAUGGAUCCCAGCUGUAGAAGGCUUCUAAAGAAGAUGAUAUUUAAUCUAGCAAGGUUUCCUUAGGAGGACAUUGGUUGGAAGGUCUUAAGAACUGCUACGUUCAUCCCUGAAGCUGAAACCUUUAAAAAGGAUAUAGGGAGGCUCCUGUGUUGCAGAUGCCUGAAACGGAUCCUUGAGAAACAAGUGGUCUGCAGGUACCUGUUGUAAACCAGGGGCUAAUGAAUAACUAGAGCCAAAGUGUCCACUCUGCCCUAUCCUAAGCUCAAAGGAUCUCUAACAACAUCCAUACCUCCUGGGCCACGGGUCAAGCCCUUGACAGUCACUUUUCACUUAUCACCUAACUUCAUUGUUACAACCACUGUUUCACAAGUGAAGGAACUGAGGCUCAUAGAAAUGAAGGCUUUAUGAAAAAGCCUCAAAGCUAAAGAGAAGAGUCCAGGAUUUAGUUUUCAAGUCCAGUGCUCUUGGCUCAAUACAGAGUCCUUCCUCCUCCCACUUAAUGCUGACAUUGCUCAUAGACCUGCUGUUAUUCUGAGUUCUGAAAUAAAUGUACCGGAGAACUUGGAGCAACACUUGCUGCUAUGGGACAAAAAGAAGACAGAAUUUUGUGCCUGGAGUGACUCAGGUUCAACUUCC
rnacentral:lncRNA from 1 species